GAGAAGAAAUAGGACAAGAAGAAAAAAUACUCUCUUCAGACGGUACCGGAGGCUUCAGAAUAGUAAUCGCUGUGUUUCACUCCAGCCUGAACCAACGCCCCUACAGUCCACGCUCACCGAACGGCAGUCCACACCGUUCAACAACAUUGACCCAUAUAUAAAUUAAUGAGCGAAAAAUAAUUGCAAUUUAAAAGGCUGUAAAAUAAGCAAUUCGCUGUUUCUACAACUAAAUUGAAAGAUAAAACAAGACGCAGACGCCCAUUAAAUAAGAUAUCUCCAUUUUUAUUGCAAUGUACAUUCGUUAUAUAAAGUUGAAUAAUAAUUAACCUUUUACUUGAAUUCACAAACCUUUUUUUUCUGUGAUUCUCUAUUCGACUGUUAUUUUAACCGAGUCCAAAACUGAGGGUGUUCUUCGUUCGUUUGUCAAGUCAUCAUUUAUCAUCUUAGUUAACAUUAUUAGAGUAACAUCUUUCAUUGCGGAUAAUCCUCUAUGGGAGCAGCGGAAUUGGAAACACAAGUUACAGCAGUUGCGAAUUGAGAGGAAGGAGUGGAGGAGGGUGUCACGGUCGCCGGGUCAAUAAACUCCGCAGGCACCGCGGCAGACUGACCGCGGCAACCGACGCGCAGUGACGACAGCGUCUCGGUGUUGCCACUUCUGCUACGGAUUUAAUCGGCCACUGCAGUUAAUAUCCGGCAGCCUGGGAGUUCGGUCUGAACUCUGAAAUGCAAUCAGCUAAGGAACUAAAGCAAAAUGGAUUGGAGAACUAAGAGAAAAAAAAAUAAAAAAGCUAUAGCAAACCUCCUACUUAGGUAGUAGGAGAUUUGCUAUAGCUAUAGCUAGAGCUAAUAUCUAGUUAAUACACUAAUUAUUAUUUUUAUUAUUAUAUCAACCGUUAACUGUCCACUACUGGACUUCUCUAAAAGGAGGGGUGUUGCCAAUAGUCGCCGCGCUUGGCAGGCGGGUUGGCAACCGCAGUUAGACUUCGGUGAUGUUUUAAGAAGGACGCUAUUGCCCAUCCCGUGAGCAUUAAAUAUUCUCUUAUUGAGAAAAACGCAAAGCCAGCACUAUUACUGAGCACAGUAUAUAUUUAUAUAUCUACGAUGAAGAUUACAAUAUUUUUUUUAAAAGAAAUACUAGACUCAUAUGUUAUACUGACGAUCUUUUCAAAUUGUAAUAAACUUUUAAUUGGUGAUUUAUAUAAAUAC